AAUCAACGCUGGCGGCGUGCCUCAGACAUGCAAGUCGAACGCGAAAGUCCCCUUCGGGGGGCAAGUAGAGUGGCGCACGGGUGAGUAACACGUAGGUAAUCUACCUUUGGAUGGGGAAUAACAACCGGAAACGGUUGCUAAUACCGCAUAAUGCAGCGGCACCUAAUGGUGACAGUUGUUAAAGCGGGGGAUCGAAAGACCUCGCGUCUAAAGAGGAGCCUGCGGCGGAUUAGCUAGUGGUAAGGUAAUGGCUUACCAAGGCUACGAUCCGUAACCGGCCUGAGAGGGCGGUCGGUCACACUGACACUGACAUACGGGUCAGACUCCUACGGGAGGCAGCAGUCGGGAAUUUUGGGCAAUGGGCGAAAGCCUGACCCAGCAACGCCGCGUGAAGGAUGAAGUA
rnacentral:rRNA from 1 species